rnacentral:rRNA from 1 species
GUGCUUGGGCGAGAGUAGUACUAGGAUGGGUGACCCCCUGGGAAGUCCUCGUGUUGCA